rnacentral:tRNA from 1 species
GCGCUUGUAGCUCAGUGGAUAGAGCGUUCCCCUCCGAAGGGAAAGGCCGUGCGUUCGAUUCGCACCAGGCGCA